rnacentral:rRNA from 1 species
UACGAGAGGCCCAAACGUUAUUCGGAUUUACUGGGCUUAAAGAGUUCGUAGGCGGUUCGACAAGUGAGGUGUGAAAUCCCUCGGCUUAACCGAGGAAUUGCGCUUCAAACUGUCGGGCUCGAGGGAGAUAGAGGUGAGCGGAACUGAUGGUGGAGCGGUGAAAUGCGUUGAUAUCAUCAGGAACACCAGAGGCGAAGGCGGCUCACUGGGUCUUUUCUGACGCUGAGGAACGAAAGCUAGGGGAGCAAACGGG